rnacentral:rRNA from 1 species
CCUACGGGCGGCAGCAGUGGGGGAUAUUGCACAAUGGGGGAAACCCUGAUGCAGCGACGCCGCGUGUGGGAAGACGGUCCUCUGGAUUGUAAACCACUGUCCCCAGAGACGAAGAUGACGGUACCUGGGGAGGAAGCUCCGGCUAACUACGUGCCAGCAGCCGCGGUAAUACGUAGGGAGCGAGCGUUGUCCGGACUUACUGGGUGGAAAGGGAGCGUAGGCGGGACUGCAAGUUGGGUGUCAAAUCUACCGGCUCAACCGGUAGCCGCACUCAAAACUGCAGUUCUUGAGUGAAGUAGAGGCAGGCGGAAUUCCUAGUGUAGCGGUGAAAUGCGUAGAUAUUAGGAGGAACACCAGUGGCGAAGGCGGCCUGCUGGGCUUUUACUGACGCUGAGGCUCGAAAGUGUGGGGAGCAAACAGGAUUAGAUACCCCUGUAGUC